rnacentral:rRNA from 1 species
UACAGAGGCCUCGAGCGUUAGGCGGAAUCACUGGGCUUAAAGCGUGUGUAGGCGGAUCGUUAAGUACCUUGUGAAAUCCCACGGCUUAACCGUGGAACUGCUGGGUAUACUGGCGAUCUUGAGCCAUCUAGGGGCGAGCGGAACAAAUGGUGGAGCGGUGAAAUGCGUAGAUAUCAUUUGGAACGCCAAUGGUGAAAACAGGUUGCUGGGAGUGUGCUGACGCUGAGACACGAAAGCCAGGGGAGCGAACGGG